rnacentral:rRNA from 1 species
GACGAACGCUGGCGGCGUGCUUAACACAUGCAAGUCGAACGAAGUGGCGAACGGGUGAGUAACGCGUAAUCAACCUGCCCUUCAGAGGGGGACAACAGUUGGAAACGACUGCUAAUACCGCAUACUGAAGGAGGGGAUUGCGUCUGAUUAGCUAGUUGGGGGGGUAACGGCCCACCAAGGCGAUGAUCAGUAGCCGGGCUUGGAGGAUGAACGGCCACAUUGGGACUGAGACACGGCCCAGACUCCUACGGGAGGCAGCAGGGGGGAAUCUGCGGAAAUGGACGAAAGGCUGACGGAGCAACGCCGCGUGAGUGAUGACGGCCUUCGGGUUGUAAAGCUCUGUUAAGCGGGACGCGGUACCGGAAUAGAAAGCCACGGCUAACUACGUGCCAGCAGCCGCGGUAAUAC